rnacentral:rRNA from 1 species
AACGAACGCUGGCGGCAUGCCUAACACAUGCAAGUCGAACGAGACCUUCGGGUCUAGUGGCGCACGGGUGCGUAACGCGUGGGAACCUGCCCUUAGGUUCGGAAUAACUCCCCGAAAGGGGUGCUAAUACCGGAUAAUGUCUUCGGACCAAAGAUUUAUCGCCUUUGGAUGGGCCCGCGUUGGAUUAGCUAGUUGGUAGGGUAAAAGCCUACCAAGGCUACGAUCCAUAGCUGGUCUGAGAGGAUGAUCAGCCACACUGGGACUGAGACACGGCCCAGACUCCUACGGGAAGCAGCAGUGGGGAAUAUUGGACAAUGGGCGAAAGCCUGAUCCAGCAAUGCCGCGUGAGUGAUGAAGGCCUUAGGGUUGUAAAGCUCUUUUACCCGGGAUGAUAAUGACAGUACCGGGAGAAUAAGCUCCGGCUAACUCCGUC